rnacentral:other from 1 species
GGUGAUCUGGACUUCCCGUGAUACAGUGGAUAAUUUCCUUGAGCCUAUUUUUUUACCUUGGGAGCGACGUUUUAAUUCUGUGUGCAUGACUGCAAGACGGUAAGCCUGACGAAUUUCAAUGAAACACCCACUUGAACCUCUGGUUCAAGGCUGAAGCUGUACACGAUACUCUGGAGCCGUC